UUGAACGCUGGCGGCAGGCCUAACACAUGCAAGUCGAACGGUAACAGGAAGCAGCUUGCUGCUUUGCUGACGAGUGGCGGACGGGUGAGUAAUGUCUGGGAAACUGCCUGAUGGAGGGGGAUAACUACUGGAAACGGUAGCUAAUACCGCAUGACGUCGCAAGACCAAAGAGGGGGACCUUAGGGCCUCUUGCCAUCGGAUGUGCCCAGAUGGGAUUAGCUAGUAGGUGGGGUAACGGCUCACCUAGGCGACGAUCCCUAGCUGGUCUGAGAGGAUGACCAGCCACACUGGAACUGAGACACGGUCCAGACUCCUACGGGAGGCAGCAGUGGGGAAUAUUGCACAAUGGGCGCAAGCCUGAUGCAGCCAUGCCGCGUGUAUGAAGAAGGCCUUCGGGUUGUAAAGUACUUUCAGCGGGGAGGAAGGGAGUAAAGUUAAUACCUUUGCUCAUUGACGUUACCCGCAGAAGAAGCACCGGCUAACUCCGUG
rnacentral:rRNA from 1 species